AGAGGUUUUGACAGCGUGAACAAAGUGCUCCCUUUGAGCGCUGUCACCUAGGGAUGGAUGUGUUUGUGGCAUUCACGGGGCAGAAGUGAGACCGUGUGUGUGCCUGGUGCAGUUCGUUGGCCGUGGCCAGACACGAGAAUCCCACGGACGUGGAAAUCUCAUGAAAGCAAGAGGAACUCGGGCCCCAACAGAGAGAUGGCCCAGUGGGAGCCAUGUGGCCAAGAGAUGGAGCAAGUGAGAUCAACUGGCACAGGGGGUAGCUCCAGUGAGUUGUUGGUGGCGACGGGAGCUCGGGAGCAUGACCUGGCCCUGCUGAAAGAUGGUCAGUGUCAUCGUGGCGCGAAUCCAACAGCUGCUUCCUCUUUAAUGGGCAGUGAUGGAGAACUUCUCCUGAGUUCAAACAUGACGAAGAUCUUCCCUUCUCACCUCUUCUAGUCAACACACCCGGGAGUUUCCAACCAGCAAAACCAGACGAGAAAAAUAAGUUUAAGGCAUGUGCACAGGAAGGAAAAGGUAAGACAAUGUCUACCAACCACCCAAUGGCUGUAUUUUCGCCUGUCUUCCAACUCUCCUUUCUUUUUGGAGCUCGAGUCAGGAAGGAUGUUGUCCGGGGAAUGCCUGCCUUAUCCAACAGUUCAUUCCAGUGGCAGCCUUGCUCCACGACUUAGGUCAGUCAUGCAGGGGAGCUCUGCAGCACUUUCUCCCCUGCCAACUCACUGGAGUUUAAAAAAAAUCCCAAAUUACCUUUUAGGCAUGUGAAAAUAGACAGCACAGCGGAGGUUCGCUGUGCUAAUCUUUGGGGAGUUAAAAACCAAGGCUUCCAUACGUACCUUUGAUGAUUCUGCAAGGUAAAGGUUGAGAGUAAACAGAGGAUGAGGCAUCAACAUGAACACACAAAUCAGUGACUUAUUCUGUGUAGUAUAGUAGUUUAAUGUGACAAGACUGGAUGAAUAAAAGCUUACUA
rnacentral:lncRNA from 1 species